ACGCUAGCGGCAGGCCUAACACUGCAAGUCGAGGGGCAGCGCGGCGUAGCAAUACGCUGACGGCGACCGGCGGACGGGUGCGCAUCGCGUGAGCAACCUACCCCAAGCAGGGGGAUAACCCGGAGAAAUCUGGACUAAGACCCCAUGGGGCCGGGAGGAGGCAUCUCCUGCCGGCUAAAUAUUUAUAGGCUUGGGAUGGGCUCGCGUCCCAUUAGGUAGUUGGCAGGGUAACGGCCUACCAAGCCCACGAUGGGUAGGGGUUCUGAGAGGAUUCACUCCCACACCGGAACUGAGACACGGUCCGGACUCCUACGGGAGGCAGCAGUGAGGAAUAUUGGACAAUGGGCGGAAGCCUGAUCCAGCCAUGCCGCGUGCAGGAUGACGGCCCUACGGGUUGUAAACUGCUUUUUCAGGGGAUCAAUAAGGCGCACGUGUGCGCCGAUGAGCGUACCCUGCGAAUCAGCACCGGCUAACUCCGUGCCAGCAGCCGCGGUAAUACGGAGGGUGCAAGCGUUAUCCGGAUUUAUUGGGUUUAAAGGGUGCGCAGGCGGCCCCGUAAGUCAGCGGUGAAAUUUUUCGGCUCAACCGAAUUCGUGCCGUUGAUACUGCGGGGCUUGAGUGCGAGCGAGGCUGGCGGAAUGCGCGGUGUAGCGGUGAAAUGCUUAGAUAUCGCGCAGAACUCCGAUUGCGAAGGCAGCUGGCCAGCUCGCAACUGACGCUCAGGCACGACAGCGUGGGGAUCGAACAGGAUUAGAUACCCUGGUAGUCCACGCCGUAAACGAUGAGCGCUCGCUGCUCGGCCUGUUAUGGGCUGGGUGGCCCGGAGAAAUCGGUAAGCGCUCCGCCUGGGGAUACGGCC
rnacentral:rRNA from 1 species